CAGCAGGGUAUUUAGCUUGCUAAAUCCGCUGGCGACCGGCGCACGGGUGCGUAACGCGUAUCCAACUUUCCCGUUACUCAGGGAUAGCCUUCCGAAAGGGAGAUUAAUACCUGAUGGUGUUUGAAGUUCGCAUGUUCUUCAAACUAAAGAUUUAUCGGUAACGGAUAGGGAUGCGUGACAUUAGAUAGUAGGCGGGGUAACGGCCCACCUAGUCUACGAUGUCUAGGGGUUCUGAGAGGAAGGUCCCCCACACUGGAACUGAGACACGGUCCAGACUCCUACGGGAGGCAGCAGUGAGGGAUAUUGGUCAAUGGUCGGAAGACUGAACCAGCCAAGUAGCGUGAAGGAUGAAGGUUCUAUGGAUUGUAAACUUCUUUUAUACGGGAAUAAAACCUCCCACGUGUGGGAGCUUGUAUGUACCGUAUGAAUAAGCAUCGGCUAACUCCGUG
rnacentral:rRNA from 1 species